rnacentral:tRNA from 1 species
GAGCCGUUAGCUCAAUUGGCAGAGCAGCUGACUCUUAAUCAGUAGGUUGUAGGUUCGAUUCCUACACGGCUCACCA